AUGACCAGCAAACCCGUCCCUGCCCUACCCCAGGCCGCCUCCUGCGACAGCGACGGCCGGAGCAGUAGCAGCAGCAAUGGCAAUGGCAUCCGCACUUUUGGUCCAAGGGACGUCAAGAACCAAUUUCACAUAUACAAUAUCAAAGAUGAGAUCCGAGCACUUCUUGCCAAGGUCGACAAGAUCUACGGCCGGCUGCAGCUCGACGAGGGUUUACUACUGGACAAGGGUGUGUGCUGCUGCCCGCCGGCGGUAGAACGACGACGGCGAAGAGGAGGAGAGCAGGAUUUAGACUUUAACAAGCUCGACGGCCUCGUCGCCUUCCUGACCUGCCUCUUCCCAUACCUCCCCGACGCGGAGGCCCGGCUGUACCUUGACGCCGCGGAGGCGGACCCCUUUGUGGCCUCGCUCUUCAUCAUCGGCAGGCGUGGGAUGCGGGAGUUCGACUUCAGCUCCAAGACCACCGAGGCAGCGGUGGAGGCCGCCCUCAGAUGUGCGGCGGUUGCCGCCAAGCACCCAGACCCGCAGGGGCUCGUGAGAGGGUGGAAGCUGCUUUCGCCUGCCGUGGAAGCGUUCAGCUCCGCGCCAUCACCGAGGAGGCAGCAUGACGACAACUUCGCGCACAGAAGGUCUUGA
rnacentral:rRNA from 1 species